UUUAUUUUCACUACUUAAUUAUUGGGUGCCACGUAAUACCUCAAAUGAACAAAUUAUCACUAAAAUUAAAAAGGUAGUUGACUAGAUAGGUAUCCUGUAGGAAGAAAAUAGGUCCCCUCAGAAUAAAUGAGAACUCACUGUACUUUUUAAUUCUUUUCAAAAAUGAAGGGGAAACAAUGGUGUUCCAAGAAAAACAAAGAUUCAAGGAAUAAAUAAAAGAAAAUAAAUAAAAAUAUUUUCAGAAAAGUUUGAGAGUAUUUGUUGCCAGCAGGAAUAUAUUAAAAAGAAAAAACUAAAAUAUGUGUUUCAAUUAGAAAGAAAACUAUUCCACAUAGAAAUGUAAAAAUGUAAAAAGGAAUAAAAAGCACUGAAAAGAGUAACUAUAUAAAUAUAAAUUACUAUUCAUGUUAAUAAAUAAUUAUUACAGUUUCCUAUGAUGGCCAAAAUAUGUACAUUGAUAUACAUGUUCAUGAAAUGCAAGAGGUGGGUGCGGAGUUGAUAGAGCUUAACAGUUUUAAAGAUGCUAACGGUAUUGUGAGAAUGGUCAAAAUAUUCGUUUGUUUUAAACUCCAUAAUACAUCAAAAUGCAUGCUGUAAUAUCUAUAGGAAAAGGUAGAAGCAUAGUAAGAAAUUAAUAAGACAAAAUUAAUUAAAUCAAAAAUGGAAUAAAAAGAACACAGAAGAGGUAGGUCAAAGAGAAAAUAAAAAGUGAGAUAUCAGCAAUACCAAUAAAUAUAAAUGGAUUAAAUAUGCUACAUAAAACACUAAGAUUAUUGGCCUUAAAAAAAGCAAUUUGUUGUCUUAAAAAUUACAGUUGUAUUCAGAAAUAUUGAAAUUGAGUGAAAAAUAACAUAACAAAAAAUUUAUCUAUAUACAUUAAUAUCAUGAAAAUUCAAUUUUAAGGUAAAACAAAUAGCAUUAAGAAAGAAAGAGAUGUAUAUUUUAUAAUGGCAAAGGUGUAUAAUUGAAUGAUUGUAUUGGUAACCUCAACUGUGCAUUUCCACCAGUAUCCAUGUCCUUUGCUGUGACUGUGAAAUUCAUUUAACUAAUUUGUUCGAGUAUAUUUUCCCAGCCCUAAAUUUGGGCUUACUGCUAUUAAUUGUCUUAGCCAAAAAUAAUGUUAGCAGCUUUAACAUAAAUAAAACCUUGAUGAAGUGUUUGUGGG
rnacentral:lncRNA from 1 species